rnacentral:rRNA from 1 species
CCUACGGGCGGCAGCAGUGAGGAAUAUUGGUCAAUGGGCGAGAGCCUGAACCAGCCAAGUCGCGUGAGGGAAGACGGUCCUACGGAUUGUAAACCUCUUUUGUCAGGGAGCAAGGAGUGCCACUAGUGGUGCGGCGAGAGUACCUUAAGUAAAAGCAUCGGCUAACUCCGUGCCAGCAGCCGCGGUAAUACGGAGGAUGCGAGCGUUAUCCGGAUUUUUUGGGUUUAAGGGGUGCGAAGGCGGAAGGUGCAAGUCAAUGGUAACAUUUCGGGGCUCAACCUCGCCGAGCCGUUGAAACUGCUAUUCUAGAGUGGACGAGAGGUAUGCGGAAUGCGUGGUGUAGCGGUGAAAUGCAUAGAUAUCACGCAGAACUCCAAUGGCGAAGGCAGCAUACCGGCGCCCAACUGACGCUGAGGCACGAAAGCGUGGGGAUCGAACAGGAUUAGAUACCCGUGUAGUC